CACACAACACACUCCUUUUGAAAAGUGGUCAGUCAUGGCAACAAAAAUAUACACAAAGAGCAAGCUAGUUAAUGGCAGAGGUGUACCAUUCUGCUAGCUAGCCUAUUACUGUUCUUUAAUAUAAAUUGUAAAUAUAAACUGUUCUUAAAUCUUAAACACAGACAAUGGAAAGACACAGAGACUGAAAAUGAGACAAACUCAUCAGGAACAUCAACAUUUACUUCAGGCUCAGCUUGGUUCUCAAGGGUAAGAAACCUCAAGAAGGUGAUUCUCCAGCAGCUUCUGAAAGGCCUCCAGAUGUUUAUGAGCGUUUGUUCAUCAGUUAUCAUUGUGCGAUCCUGAGGAAAGUUCCAGAUCUCCGUGGAGAAGAGGCAUGCAUCAGAGCUGUGUCAAAAUUCACACACAGCAUCUGCCUUACCCAUGAUGCUUCAGGGCAGACGUGAGGAAGCGGAUACACACCGACUCGACUCGGGGGAGAAACAGCAAACACACCCCGAGAUCAGGAGAGAAAAACAGCAUCCGCUUCCUGCUGAUGAGGUGAUUCACUUGAUUUACUCACUCAGCUGGAAUCAGAUCAUUAAACACAAACCAGGAGCAGACCCCUAAUAGAAUUUUUUUCCUUUUAUUGUUACUUUAUUGUGUUAGAAUUACACUUCACCUGUAUGUGUGUAUAUAUAUCAAUACAAUAGAUGUCUACUUUCAAUUUUCUUUGAGAAGUUGUUUUAUAUGCAAAUUAGGCAGUAGAUAAUUAAGUCUUUGCUAAUCUGCAUACCACUUUGUUUUCUUUUUUCUUUCAUUCUUCUUCUUUUUUUUUUUUUUGAUCUAAUGGAUCUCAUUUAAUAACUCGCCCAGUCAGCAGACUUCAUCAUCGUUUAUCUACACAGCAUAAUUUCAUGGAUUUUUUUCCCCCAAGUGCACAGUUACAUGGACAAAAAGUCAUUUUUGUGGAUGUUUCUUCCUUAAAUAAACAUCAAACAGAGAAUAUUUAAGUGUCAAUCAUUGCAUCACCUGAAGAUGUGUCUACACGUACAUUACAGAACAUUAGCAAAUCGUAAUUCAAGCUUUUUUUGCAAGAUAUGAUUCAAUAUUGAUUCAAUUUGGAUUAAAUUAUGAGGAAAGGUUGAGAUUUCUCCAUGAGAAACAUCCAGAGGUCUGAGUCAUCACUCGUCAUGUACUCGGUAUGUGAUCACUUUCAGGGGUUCUUUUAGUGUUCUUUCCAUAACUAAGGCUUCUUAGCCUUAUGAAAGUGGUCUAUGGGGAACCCUUCCUGAUAGGGAAACAAGUUUAGACUAUAAAAGGGUUCUACAGAGGGAGACGUGAAGAACCCUUAAAUCUUAGAACCUUAAAUCUUCUUAAAAUCCCUGUUUCUGUUUGAAUUGUUUAAUUAAAGGGGAUGACUGAAGGGAAAAUCAGCUCCUGUAUGUUUUGGUAUAUUGGUGGAUGUUUUGUUAUUGCUGAUAUACGGUAAAAGGAAACUUGAUGUAAUGUGUAAAAUGUAAUCGAUCGAACAGUUACUACUGUAAAGAUUAUUUUUUCGUUUUAACGUUCUUGUCAUUUUUACAGUAAACUCUGUAGAUGUUUUUUUUUCACACUGUGUCCUCCAGUACAGAACUCUUCCUUCCUAGCCAUAUUUUCUGCAAGGUUUUGACACUUUUAUAUAAUUUUCUACCUGAGAACCGCUAGAGAAUAGAACAUCACCACCGUUCCUGCUUAAAUCCUGAAUAAAGAGAGUGUUUGCAUUUCUAUCAUCUCUCCUGUUCCUUGCGAGACGGAGCUCAGACGCGGGCUGGAGACGAGCUGCACCGCAUACUGAUCAUGCCAGGAGAAAUGUAUUCUGGUUCCACUUUUAUGAACCUCAGAAAUGAGAACAUUUUUCAAGCGAUGCUCGUGCGGCAGCUCUGUCGCUGUGAGGAGACACCAUCACACGUCUCCUUGAAAAGGUGAGAAGCGCAUCAGUUCCCUGAGCUCGGAGUCAUGCUGCGUUACAGGUGAACACCGACAUGUGAUUAACAUUCUCCUCCACGACCACGGCGCCAUUAAACAGCGGUCAAAUCUCUCCAGCACUGAUGUUUCAUGUUUUAUGAACCUGUACCGUAAUAUCAUGAGCAGCAGUUGUUCUUUUUUUACUCAUCCUGUACUAGUCUCGUGUUCGUCCAAUUAAAUACUUUAUAGAGUGUAUAGUGUAUACACCCCGCCCCCAAGGGCAUCUUUCUCUAUAGUAGCAGCUCCUUACCAGUAAACAUGGUUCACCUGUGUUUUUUUUCCCUGUAUGUCUUCACAAACACUAUUCCCAUUUCCAAAUGAGAAUAAAUAUUUGGAGUUUAUUCAUGCCUAAGUGGGCGGAGUUUAUCUGAGUUG